UACGUAGGGGGCGAGCGUUGUCCGGAAUUAUUGGGCGUAAAGGGUGCGUAGGCGGCCUUUUAAGUCAGGUGUGAAAUCCAUGGGCUCAACCUGUGUAAGCACUUGAAACUGGAAGGCUUGAGUUAAGGAGAGGAAAGUGGAAUUCCUAGUGUAGCGGUGAAAUGCGUAGAUAUUAGGAGGAAUACCAGUGGCGAAGGCGACUUUCUGGCCUUUAACUGACGCUGAGGCACGAAAGCGUGGGGAGCAAACAGG
rnacentral:rRNA from 1 species